rnacentral:rRNA from 1 species
GACGAACGCUGGCGGCGGGCUUAACACAUGCAAGUCGAACGGAAGGGCGCUGCUUGUGUGGGAUGCUCGAGUGGCGAAGGGGUGAGGGACACGAGAGUAACCUGCCCCUGACUUUGGGAUAGCGUCAGGAAGCUGGGGCUAGUACCGGAUAGGAGCUUCUGCUGCAUGGGGGGGGUUGGAAAGUUUCGGGGGUUGGGGAUGGACUGGGGGGUUAUCUGCUUGUUGGUGGGGUAGUGGCUGACCAAGGGUUUGACGGGUAGCCGGCCUGAGAGGGUGACCGGCACCAUUGCGACUGAGCUACGGCACGGACUCCUACGGGAGGCAGCAGUGGGGAAUAUUGCCCAAUGGGCGGAAGCCGGAUGCAGCAACGCCGCGUGCUGGAUGACGGCCUUCGUGUUGUAAACCGCUUUGGCGUGUGACGAAGCGUUAUUGACGGUACUGGGUAAAGAAGCACCGGCUAACUACGUG